GCUCUCUUUGUCCUCUGGUGCUUCACUUCCACCUCUAGUCCACUAGCCAGUCCUGAUGGAUUCUUAUGAUUUUAAGGGUAUGGAUGGACAGAGUGAGGUUUAGAGACUCCUAGGGCUCAGGGGAUGAAGCCAGACCAACCUGUUAUCAGAACCUGCGCAGUGCCUACCUACACACAUGCGCACAUACCUGAAAAGAGGGGGGCAUGCUGCCAUCAGACAGCAUCUUUUCUUAUGGAAUUACAGGGAGAGAGGAAGUGCUCACGCCUCAUGAAGAUGGAUUACUGGGCUGAACACGCUAACAACAAGUGGCUAAAUUAAUGGCUUUAUGGAACUUUAUGAAAUCAGUCAUUUAUUGUCGAACUGGGAUUCCUGGGAGGGCCUUCUGAUGAAGAUCAUCAAAGCACCACUGCUUGAAAUGGACAUGACAGGUGCUGUCCAUGGACCUGACUGCUCCAGCAAAUCAAUAGAGAUCCUAUAUUUUAUGUAAUUCUAUGAUUAAAUAUGUUGCUCAUAAAUACAGCCUUUAAGAUUCUACUUCAACCAAAUAAAAGGGUCCAGUCAGAUUACUGUUAGCAAACAUUGUCCUGAACUGUCCAAUGAAAUUACUGUUAUCAAACAUUGUCCUGUCCAAUCAGAUUACUGUUAGCAAAAAUUGUCAGUGAAGUUCACAUGCAAGACUAUUUGUGAGCGGUAAUUUGAUUGGAUGUGGGGACCCUAAAAAAAUCCCUACAUGGGUGUCACACCCUGAUCUGUUUCCCCUGUCUUUGUGUUUGUCUCCACCCCCCUCCAGAUGUCGCCUAUCUUCCCCAUCCUGUCGUGCCUAUUGCUCCUGUUUUCUGUUUUACCCGGUUUUGACCUUUUCUGCCCGCCCUGACACUGAGCCUGCCUGUCGUCCUGUACCUUUGCCCCACUACUCUGGAUUACCAACCUUUGGCUGAUCUGACCCUGAGCCUGCCUGCCAUCCUGUACCUUUGCCCCACUACUCUAGAUUAUCAACCCCUGCCUACCUUGACCUGUCAUUUGCCUGCCUCGGUUUCUGUAAAAAAAACAUUGUUACUUCGACACAGUCUGUAUUUGGACCUUACAUUCAAACCUGAUACAUGUGUAUACAGUUGAAGUCGGAAGUUUACCAACACAUAGAUUGGAGUCAUUAAAACAUAUUUUUCAACCACUCCACAGAUUUCUUGUGAACAAUCUAUAGGUUUGGCAAGUAGGUUAGGACAUCUAGUUUGUUCAUGACACAAGUAAUUUUUCCAACAAUUGUUUCCAGACAGAUUAUUUCACAGUAUCACAAUUCCAGUGGGUCAGAAGUUUACAUACAUUAAGUUGACUGUACCUUUAAACAGCUUGGAAAAUUCCAGAAAAUGUUGUCAUGGCUUUAGAAGCUUCUGAUAGGCUACUUGACAUAAUUUGAGACAAUUGGAGGUGUACAUGUGGAGGUAUUUCAAGGUCUACUUUCAAACUCAGUGCCUCUUUGCUUGACAUCAUGGGAAAAUCAAAAGAAAUCAGCCAAGACCUCAGAAAAGAGUUGUAGACCUCCACAAGUCUGGUUUAUCCUUGGGAGCAAAUUUCAAACACCUGAAGGUACCACGUUCAUCUGUACAAACAAUAGUACGUAAGUAAAGGCACCAUGUGACCACACAGCCAUUAAAUAUCAUACUUUCUGGAGAAAUGUCCUUUCGUCUGAUAGAACUGUUUGGCCAUAAUGACCAUCGUUAUGUUUGGAGGAAAAGGGGGGGUUUUGAAAGCCGAAGAACACCAUCCCAACCAUGAAGUACUGGGGUGGCAUCAUCAUGUUGUGGGUGUGCUUUGCUGCAGGAGGGACUGAUGCACUUCAUGACAUCAUGAGGAUGUAAAAUUAUGUGGAAAUAUUGAAGCAACAUCUCAAGACAUCAGUCAGGAAGUUAAAACUUGGUCACAAAUGGGUCUUCCAAAUGGACAAUGACCCCAAGCAUACUUCCACAAUGGCUUAAGGACAACAGAGUCAAGGUAUUGGAUUGGCCAUCAGAAAGCCUUGACCUCAAUCCUAUAGAAAAUUUGUGGGCAGAACUGAAAAAGCGUGUGCGAGCAAGGAGGCCUACAAACCUGACUCAGUUAACCAGCUCUGUCAGGAGGAAUGGGCCUAAAUUCACCCAAUUUAUUGUGGGAAGCUUGUGGAAGGCUACCCGAAACGUUUGACCCAAGAUAAACAAUUUAAAGGCAAUGCUACCAAAUACUUGUCACGACCUGACCACAGAGAGCUUUUUUUCUCUGUUGGUUAGGUCGGGUGUGACUAGGGUGGGUUAUCUAGGUGAUUUAUACAUCUAUGUUGGCCAGGUAUGGUUCCCAAUCAGAGGCAGCUGUUUAUCAUUGUCUCUGAUUGGGGAUAAUAUUUAGGCAGCCAUUUCCCCUUUGUGUUUUGUGGGAUCUUGACUAUGGAUGCCUGUUAGCACUAUUGUUAGCUUCACGGUCUGUUGAGAUGUAUUGUUUUGUUUUUCUGUGAGUUUCACUUAGAAAUAAAAAGAUGUGCAACCCAGAUCACGCUGAGCUUUCGUCCAAUCAUUAUAACGAACGUGACAAUACUAAUUGGGUGUAUGUAAACUUCUGACCCACUGGGAAUGUGAUGAAAGAAAUAAAAGCUGAAAUAAAUCAUUCUCUCUACUACUAUUCUGACAUUCCACAUUCUUACAAUAAUGUGGUGAUCCUAAUUUACCUAAAACAGGGAAUUUUUACCAGGAUUAAAUGUAAGGAAUGAUGAAAAACUGAGUUUAAAUGUAUUUGGCUAAGGUGUAUGUAAACUUCUGACUUCAACUGUAUAUCUGAUCAAAUGAAUUGUCCUUUUAUAAAGUACAUACAGCAGUACACACCAUUCUAUAAAUGUAAUGGCUAAUAUAGUGGCAGUAAUCCAUUGCCUUGGUAACUGCCUGGCGUUGCUCAAACACGGAAUAGAAUUAUGUAUCGAAAUCUAACAACCGCUUUUAGUGAAACAUGAGCUGGAGAACUCCUAAAUGUUUAAAGCCUCUUUUGGGUAACUUGCACCUUUGUAGUGGUGCUUAGCUCACAUACUUUACUCUUGCUGUUACUGUACUGGAGCUGCUGACAUUUCUCUCUCAGACAUCACAAUAUUUUCAUUGGUUUGUGUUUUACCAGUUAUAUGGUGCAUAGUCAAUGCAUAGUGGUGCAUUGUCAAUGCAUAGUCAAACUAUUUUAGUAAAGUUACCCGCAAAAGACAGGAUCACCACUACCUUCUAACUUCACCUAUGCACAGACAAGGGUUUUAACCUGCUAUAGUAGUUACUGUAUGUCACGUUAAUGUCCUUCGAACAGCAUGUAGGCCUACUCACCACUGGGCAAGUUGGGUAGGAUUCAAACCUUGUCCCAAACAGCCUGACAAAAUCAAAUGCAAUCCACAGCUCAACUGUAAGGAAAUCAUGAUGAAAGCCAAAAGUAAUCCUUCAUAAUAGGGCGACACAGUGUUUUGCUGUAUUUACUCACAGACUUUGGCUGAGGCACAUCUCCCAGUCCCACUUUGCGUACUUACAGCAGGAUUCAGGAGUUGCUUUUUGUCAGAACAUUAGAUGAAUCUAUUAUUCACUGCAGUAAUAGUGGUGAUAUUAUUCAUAUAUUGUACACACAUGUACGCUCCGUCAGUCUCUUCCUUCCGUCUCCCCACAAACCCCCCAUGUCCCCUUAUUCCCCCAUACAUAAUUAUUCCACCUACUCUCACUGUAUAUACACAAGGGUUUCCUUCCUCAAGCAUACUUGGUUACAUGUGCUUCACAGUUCUUGCCUGAGCCAGUACUCAGUACUGGGAUGUUUGAGUGUCCAUGACC